UACGGGGGGAGCAAGCGUUGUUCGGAUUUACUGGGCGUAAAGGGCGCGUAGGCGGUCGUGACAAGUCACUUGUGAAAUCUCCGGGCUUAACUCGGAACGGUCAAGUGAUACUGUCGGACUAGAGUACAGAAGGGGCAACUGGAAUUCUCGGUGUAGCGGUGAAAUGCGUAGAUAUCGGGAGGAACACCUGUGGCGAAGGCGGCCCCCUGGUUGGAUACUGACGCUGAUACGCGAAAGCGUGGGGGAGCAAACAGG
rnacentral:rRNA from 1 species